rnacentral:Y_RNA from 1 species
GGUUGGUUAGAAGGUAGCGAGUUACCUCACUUGGUUGUUCACAGUUAGAGAUUGAACUCCUGGUUCUACUCUUUCCCCACUUCUCACUACUGCACUUGACUAGUCAUAA